UCCUCUGGCUUUGCUUUCAUUAAUUUAUCACACGCACACAGAGCGUAAGUGGGCUCGAACCUCCAUCUCCAGCAGCUGAAAUCCAAUAAUUACCCAGAGUAUCCCACCUGGAGAAGCGUUCCCGGCUGGUCGGCAAAUUGUGAAGAAGUUCACUGUAUCCCUUAGAGCGAGAAAUUAUCCUGGAGUGUAAGUUCUGGCUCCAGCAGCCUUACAGGUGCCCAGGUGAACCUGCCCCAGGCCCCCAAAGGCUGUGCUGGUGGACGCGGGGGCAGCCAGGCUCUGGGGAGCCACCAGGACAGCUCCUCGCUGGGAAAAACCCAGUAGUUUGAGGAUAGACUAUUUCACUAGAUUAGAGAAGAGGUGAAGCACCCUGAACUCUGCCCCAGCACCACUCACAGGGCAGACUGUUCCGGGGAAGGCGGCUGUGCCUCUCAGCGCGUUCCCCCAAUGCCAUCUAGUGUCUGCUCCGGCGGCCCCGGACAGUUAUUUUAAGGCGUCUGAGCUGAUUUAUUGCAGAAGGCUCUUUGAGGGCCAACAGGCUGCCCGGGCUGAUUAUUAACAGCAACACGAAUAACUACCCAGUGGACGCGCAGGCUGGGCUGGAUUAUUUUUAUUAUCGCUCCCGUUUCGCACUAAAAGCCCACCCCGGCAGGAUGGAGUGUGAGGAUGCAGUGCCACCUCCGGGGUGAUUAAAGUCUUUCAGCCUUCAGCCACCGGUCUUGUAGCCUCGACAUCACCUGAGGCUUAAUCACUCAGAAAAGUGCUGUCAUGUCCUAUUGUCGCCUUAUUGGGAGCGCGACCUCUUUCCCAUUUAGCUGCCAUCUCAAAAUAAUGUAACUUGCCGGGGGACAGACGUGACUCAGGAGACUGGUAAUGGGAUAUAAAGACUCUGACCUGCGGGUCGCCCAUUCGGAUGCUGCCAAGGUCAGCGGGAAGGACAGAGAUGUCAUUUGCACGGUGAUUAUUUGGCCAAACAACCCAAAAGAGGCGUUAAGGGGCCCAUCAGCGGCAGUCAGCAGGGCUGAGGGCUGGGUUGGACUCUGCUCCUACUGGGAGAGCAUCCAAGUCCCCCAACCCCUCCCCGAGUUUUGGGACUGUGUGACUGCCCGCGGCCCCCUCCAGCUAAAGGAGUUCUUCCUUUCUUCCUUUGCCUCCAUUGCAGGGGCAGGGUCUGCACAGGCUGAGACACUCUUAUUUCAGCCUUUUUAGGGGCAAAGUGCCACAGCAGCAUCUCCCCCCUGUGCCCCACUCAUCUGCUCCCAGUGCAGAGAAAGGUUUCUCAGCCCUGGCCCUUGCUCUGCUCCCCACCAUCAGCUGCCAUGAUUUAGGUCCCUGAGAACCUCAUCUCCAUCCCCAGCCACCGCUGACCACGUGAAUUUAUCUCCUCGGUAAGCAAACCACCUCAUCGAGGCAGUUUGAGUGUGUGAUUAAUUAAGGUCUCCCUAGGAAUGAGGUUACUCCCUGCAGCCUCAGGUAUAAAUCCAUGAUUAAUGGGUGCUGGGUCAGGCAGGGUUUGCCUGCUCUCAUCCAGACAGGCCACGAACACGGGUUUUCCGUGGAAAAGCUUCUAAACAAUCCCGUGGGAUGGGGAGUGCAGCUGGCAGCACGGUGGGCAGCCACAGGGCUGGAGAAGGGGGGUACCAGGGCUGAGCCGGGCAC